AUGGCUAACAACAAAUCUUUUGCUUUCUUCCACGCAGACAUUCGGCCACUGCGUGACGAUGGCGGCGACAGCGCUUGCUCCCGGCGGCGGCCUGCGGGCUCCGGCUCCGGGAGGAGCUUCGCCGGAGAAUACAAGAAUACCGGGGAGUGGGAGCGCUCGCUGCUCUGCUCUGCUCUGAUCUACUCCGGGGGUCGCUUCCUUUGGGAAGGAAAUAUCUUUGGCCUUGCGCCACCAGGAGGGAGGCGACCGGAGGGAGGGAGGGAGGGAGCAACGACGGCGCUGCAACACCUCCGCUGCGCCUAUAAAUACAACAAAAUCCAUUAUCUAUCCAUCAAUCAAACCGCUUCGGCUCUCAAUCGUUCCUCCCUCCCGUUAACAACAGAAGAGAACAGAACAGGCUCCCCUUCUUCCUCCCCACCCGUCUUCCCCGCCCCUCUUCCCUCCCCACCGCCGCCGCCAUGGCCGCCGCCCGCGUGUGCUGUACGUGCGGCGGCGCUAUCAGGGGCAGGAAGAAAGAGAGGUUCUUCGAGUGCCUUCGCUGCGCGAGGUGGCAGCACAAUGCGUUCGCAUCGCAUGGAAAUCCAUCACCAUUGUUCUUCGUGCAGCUACUGCGUCAUGAACUGGGAGUCAGCAGACCCCAAACUUUCCAUCCAUCCCCUGUCCCGCCCUGACCCUGAUCCAUCUUCUUCUCUGCUUGCAUUGCAGUGGGUGCAGAAGGUCGCGAGCUUGGACUUCGAAAGGGCCUGCAGUCCCUACAGCUUCUGCUAUCUCUGCUGCAAGCACUUCUGCCCGCGCUGCUGCCCCGCCGUCCCACGCUGCCGCAGGCGUGAUCACGGCGAUCACCGCACGUUCAUAAUCCAGGUUCGUCUCUCAGUUUCAGCAACAGUGAUUCUUGGCUUGUUGGCUUCUUGGGACUGCUCCAUCGAUCGAUCCAUCCGUCACUUGUUGCGGUUAUUGGUAUUCAUUCAGGUUAGACGGCGCGGGGGAGUGCUGUUCGUCAGAUUGGUGGACGUCAACGUCUUCUACGACUGCUCUCACAUCGAGCCGGAGAUCACACUCCCGGGUUGGGUGCGCCUGCAUCCCAAGCCGGAGCAGGAUGCCGGCGGCGGCGGCGGAGGACUGCCGUGCGGCUUCAGGAAAUGCAACCGUCGGAUAGCCCUGGACUAUGAUUUCUGCUCCAUCUACUGCCAGUUCGAAGAGGCAGCCCUUGAUCUGGUGAUGCCCCCUACUCGCCAAGAGGUCCUGAGACGUCAGGUCCAGAAGGAUCGUGUGCAGGGACUCCUGACGCUUGCGCGCUCAGGGACACCGAUCGUCAGUCUGGGACAUGGAUGGGACAAGUUCUGCCUCCUCUGCCACGCCGGAUUCAACCCUCAGGUGUGCCAUCACCACGACAAUGACGACACCAUCGAAAUCAUAGACACCCCAGAAGGCGGUCUUGCCGCACGCUUCCUGCAAACAGUCCAUGGGGACUGGCUUGCCUCCUUGAGCACCGUUCAGAGUUCUAGGGAGGAGAGAGAUUAUGGGUGGUUUUAUACUGAGGUGAUUGUGGAGGUGCCCUUGAUGAUGCAGUCGCACCCAGUUUCAGAGCUACGCCCGAAUUCUUGUGUGUGUGGUAGUGGCAUCGACAAGGACAUGGUGUACUGCUCAGUUCAGUGCAUGGUAUAUAUUCUCAUGCAUCACCUGUGGAGGACUUAUGAGGAGCUGACAAGACAUGAUCCGUUUUCCUAA
rnacentral:rRNA from 1 species